rnacentral:rRNA from 1 species
UACGGAGGGGGCUAGCGUUGUUCGGAAUUACUGGGCGUAAAGCGUGCGCAGGCGGUUUUGUAAGUCUGUCGUGAAAUCCCCGGGCUCAACCUGGGAAUUGCAUUCGAAACUGCGAGGCUAGGGUACGGAAGAGGGAAGCGGAAUUUCUGGUGUAGCGGUGAAAUGCGUAGAUAUCAGAAGGAACAUCAGUGGCGAAAGCGGCUUCCUGGUCCAGUACCGACGUUCAGGCACGAAAGCGUGGGGAGCAAACAGG